AAUAGAUACCCAGGUAGUCCUAGCCCUAAACGAUGAGUGCUUGGUGUGGCGGGUAUCGAUCCCUGCCGUGCCGAAGCUAACGCAUUAAGUAUCCCGCCUGGGGAGUACGGCCGCAAGGCUAAAACUCAAAGGAAUUGACGGGUCCCCGCACAAGCGGCGGAGCAUGCGGCUUAAUUCGAUGCAACCCGAAGAACCUUACCUGGGUUUGACAUCACGGGAAAAGCUGUAGAAAUACAGUGUCCAUUAGGGCCCGUGACAGGUGGUGCAUGGCUGUCGUCAGCUCGUGUCGUGAGAUGUUGGGUUAAGUCCCGCAACGAGCGCAACCCUUGUCCUAUGUUGCCAGCGGUUCGGCCGGGGACUCAUAGGAGACUGCCGGGGAUAACUCGGAGGAAGGUGAGGACGACGUCAAGUCAUCAUGCCCCUUAUAUCCAGGGCUGCACGCAUGCUACAAUGGCCGGUACAACGGGCAGCGACCCCGCGAGGGUGAGCGAAUCCUAAAAAGCCGGUCCUAGUUCGGAUUGAAGUCUGCAACUCGUA
rnacentral:rRNA from 1 species